rnacentral:misc_RNA from 1 species
AACGCACAUUGCACUCUGUUUGCGCAGAGUAUGCCUGUUUGAGAAUCUAUAGUAUUCUUUUUCUCUAUAAAGUUUUUAAUUUUAUAUGGGAAAGUUUUGCGGAUUUUGGGUUAUUAAAAAUACCCAAUUCUGUUAAAUCUAUAGUCAUUUUUUUUAUAGUAAAUGUUUGAACUCUCUAUAAAAACUUUGCAGAAAUGUAUUUGAAUGAACCUACCAGUUCUCCUUAUACAAAUUACGCAGAGAGAGAUUAGUUUUCUAUAGAAAAUAAUGCCCAUAACCAUUAAAAAAGUUAAUUGUAAGAUUGACUUUUUGAACCAUGGUCUCAAAUCAGGUAGGAUUACCCGCUGAACUUAA